UAACACUGAUUAUUACACCGAUAAGGAUUUAUCAGCAAGUUCUAGGUGGGGGGUUUGGGCCCAGAGGUGAAGGUUUAGUGGUAGCCAUAAGUAGGAACACUGUGGGAGGAGGAGCACCUCGUCACGUGCCUACACCUAAACUCCCACCCACCUCUUUAUACCUCCUAUCAUUAUUAUCCGAGAUCUGCAGCAAGAUGGUAGAAAGUAUUAGCUCCCAUGAUAGCUCCUCCGUUCAAGAUGAAUAUCAGGCGACACCUCCUUCCUUUGGGGAAGACACUGGCGUGGAGAACAACCUGGGGCAGGAGAACACUCAACAGGAUGAAGUUGAAGUGUUGACAGGUUGUGGAGGAUUAGCUUGCUGCAAUCCUAAUAAUGGAGCAUAUAGAUUUAUUGCUCUUGUAUUCAUGUGCUUCCUUAGUUUUGGCUCAUACUUCUGUUAUGACACCCCUGGAGCACUGCAAGAUCAUAUCAAGAGUGAUAUGAAUGUCAACACUCUUCAGUUUGCAAGUCUUUACUCUCUCUAUUCUUGGCCAAAUGUGAUUCUUUGCUUUGUUGGAGGAUUUCUCAUUGACAGAAUCUUUGGUAUUCGACUAGGUGCUAUUAUUUUCUCAUCAAUUGUUACACUUGGCCAAUUCGUCUAUGCAUUGGGUGGAAUAAUAAAUCAAUUUUGGAUGAUGCAAGUUGGAAGAUUUAUUUUUGGUAUUGGUGGAGAAUCACUUGCUGUUGCUCAAAACACCUACACUGUUAGUUGGUUCAAAGGGAAAGAACUGAACACAGUAUUUGGGCUGUUAUUAAGUAUGGCAAGGGUUGGCUCAACAGUCAACUUCCUAGUCAUGGUGCCACUCUAUGAUUGGGUUGGUACUUUUGCUCAGGGUCAUAAGCAACUUGGAAUUUCUUUGAUGAUUGCUGGUGCCACUUGCCUGUUUUCCCUUGGAUGCGCUCUACUUUUAGGCAUUCUUGACAAAAGGCGAACAAAAAUUCUACGUCUUAAUACUGCUGAAACUGGAGAAAAAGUUCAUCUGUCUGAUGUCCUUUCAUUUCCACUCACAUUCUGGUUGAUUUCUGUCAUUUGUGUAUCAUAUUAUGUUGCCAUCUUUCCAUUCAUUGGCCUUGCAAAGGUUUUCUUCAUGCGCAAAUUUGAACUGAAUGACAAAACUUCCAAUGCCGUGAGCAGCAUUGUUUAUAUAAUAUCUGCUAUUGCUUCUCCGAUACUGGGAUUUGUGGUGGAUCGAACUGGUCGUAAUAUAUUUUGGGUGUUCCUGGCUGUACUCGUCUCUUUGGGAUGCCAUGCGCUUCUCGCUUUCACAUUCCUCAACCCAUUCGUUGCCAUGAGUAUUUUAGGCCUGGCUUACUCCCUUCUGGCAAGUGCUUUGUGGCCGAUGGUUUCCCUUGUCAUUCCUGAUCAUCAACUAGGAACUGCUUAUGGCAUGAUGCAGAGUAUCCAAAACUUGGGUUUAGCCCUCAUCAGCAUGCUAGCAGGACUGAUAGUGGAUGUGAAGGGUUACUUGGUCCUUGAGAUGUUCUACAUGGUGUGGCUCUGUAUUGCGCUGGCUUCGACUGCUGCCAUCGCUGUGGUGGACAGUAAUGGUAGCGGGUAUCUAAUGAUGUCACCUGCUCAAAGGCGACUGGAAAAACAAGCUUCAGAGGGAAAAUCAAAUGAAGCAUUUGAUGAGAAACUUUAAGAAUAUAAUUAAUUCGGCCAUACAUCAAAUUGCCUUGGUAUCCACUGUGGGAAUAUGGCUAUCAGACUCCACUAAAGGAGGCAUUCUAAAUUUGUCUGUAAGUCAACGAUGCAGACGGGAAGAAGACACUGAAUGUUUGCUGGAGUCUUAGAGAAAUGAAAUACUCAGAGAGCAGCCCAGGUACUGAUUGGGAAUAUGUGUGAUAUAUAUUAAUUUGUGCCCUUAUAUUCACCCAGAGUCAAAGCUUUUGAUAACUAUUCAUUAACUUUGAAGUUUCUGCACUUGAAGUAUUAGGUUUGAUCAAAGUGAUUUUUUUAAUGUGUCAGAGAGACUGCAUUAGUUAGCUAUUAUUACUAUCAUAUCAGUUGGGUGUUAUUUAAGACUGAGUGGUAAUCCACUAUUGAAGGAAAUCUACGUGUUGAAGUGCAUGUCAGACAUGGCACUCAGUUACUGUUCAUCUCGGCUGCCUCUCAUGCAGGUGGCAAAUUGAUCAGUUAUUGUUUGUGCUGGAGAAUGUUUUCUUUACUAAUGAGGUAAUUUAUAAUGUAAACGACACUGUUUAUAAAGAAAAAUAAGGCUUCUUAAUUGAAGAUUUUUUCCUUUGAUCUACAGGGUUACACAAAUAACCCACACAUAGAAGAGAGGAGCCUACGACCAAAACGUCGUCGUAGGCUCCUCUCUUCUAUGUGAGGGGUUAUUUGUGUAUCGUUCCAGUCACAGUAUUGUGCCUUUUUUUGUUAUCUACAGGGUUACCAGUUAACAAGACAAGUUGAUUCGUCUCUAAUAGUACUUGCUGGGAUGUAAAGCGAGAGUUACCACAUUUAUACUUUUGCUUUUAAAUAUCAUUCCAAUGUGUAGCCAUCACUCAUUUUUCCUCUGAAGUUUUUAGUUAUUAAUUUGUAUUUUUUCAUUGUACAGUACUUUAUUACAGUAUUACAAUUUAAUAGCUAGUAAUAUUAAAAGUAUGAAAAUAAGUUAAAAGUUCUGCAACUGAAUACAAAACAGUAUAAUUUUAUUUCAUAUAUACAUAUGUAAUGUCUUGCAGUCCUUACUUAGCACCAAACCCUUGUUUGGCAUGACACUAGGUGAAUACUGUUCAGUCUGAGUUGCCACAUCAGUGACUAGUGGACAUUAUUACCGGUGAUUGGGCCCUCACUGUCUGGGUGUUUUUGGUAUGUUAUCAUAGUUAUUUCUUCAGAUUCUAGGUUUUGGGCUAGAAGGGCACACUGUAGAGUUAAGAAAACAUGAUUUGUCCCAGAUUUACAACAAAUGCCUCUCAAUCCCUAUGCCCAUAUUAGGAAGUAAAACCAUGGUUAACACAGUACCUGGUAAAUACCUAAUUGCACACUUAAGUUUAGUCUUAGUACCUAAUACAGUACUGUGAUUCCAGUAGGUGUAAUAAUAAAUCAUAUUAAGUCUUUAGUUUUCAAUUAUAGUUCAUAAUAGGACUUCUGUGAUAAUUUUUUUUUAUUUAAAAGGCAGGUGGUGAUUUUGACAAAGAAUUUUUGUAAAUCUCUUUUAGGAAGUAUCUUUACAAACACUGCAUUCUCUUGGCAACAUACUGUGUACUGACUUACAUGUAGCUGGAAGUAUAAGUCUUGCUCCUGGCCCUGCCUCUUAACUUGCUGCUUGCCAGAUUCACUCCCCCUACCUUGUGGGCCUUAUUGUACCUGCUCAUAGAGGUAUGUAAGGUGCCUGCCUCCACCACUUCUUCACCGAGAUCAUUCCACUUUCCGACCUCCAUGAGAAUGAAGAAAUACCUCCUGAUAUUCCUGUUGCUCAUCUGUGUUUUUAACUUCCAGCUGGAUUCCCAAGUUCCCAUUUCUUGCUCUCAAACAGCCUGUUCAUGUUUACCCUCUCAAUUCUCAGAGUAUUUUGUAUGUUAUCAUAUCUCCCCUGGCUUUUCUAUUCUCCAGUGUCAUUAUAUUCACUUCCAUUAGCCUUUCCUCAUAGCUCAUUCCCUUAACUUAGGAUCAGGCCUUAUUGCAUACUUCUGCACUUUCUCCAGUUUCUUAUCAUGCUUCCUCAGGAGUGGGUUCCAUAUUGAUGCUGCAUACACCAAGAUGGGCCUGAUAUACAUUGUACAAAAUGCUUGGAAAGCCUCUUUGUUGAGAUUCCUGAAGACCACUCUUAGAUUUACUAAGUGAGCAUUGGCCCUGUGUAUAUUGUACAUAAUAUACAAUACAUGAAAAUACAUGUGUGCUAUUUUCUUAGAGCAUUGUCAUGCACAUUUGGUACUGUACUUAUGAUAUAUAUACAUAACUAACUUGGUAACCCUGCUGGCAACCACUAGUCAAGGAGAAGCAAAUCGAAGCAGUCAAACAUAUCAGUUGCUUUUUGUCACCUCAGAUAGGUAAGACCUAUUCUGCUGAUACACAAAAUACAGUGGACCCCCGGCUUACGAUAUUAUUUCAUUCCAGAAGUAUGUUCAGGUGCCAUUACUGAACAAAUUUGUUCCCAUAAGGAAUAUUGUGAAUUAGAUUAGUCCAUUUCAGACCCCCAAACAUACAUGUACAAACUUUUUUUUUUUUUUUUUU